UCCUACGGGAGGCAGCAGUGGGGAAUAUUGGACAAUGGGCGCAAGCCUGAUCCAGCAAUGCCGCGUGUGUGAAGAAGGCCUGCGGGUUGUAAAGCACUUUCAGUAGAGAAGAAAAGCUUAAGGUUAAUACCCUUGAGUCUUGACGUUACCUACAGAAGAAGCACCGGCUAACUCCGUGCCAGCAGCCGCGGUAAUACGGAGGGUGCGAGCGUUAAUCGGAAUUACUGGGCGUAAAGCGCGCGUAGGCGGCUUGGUCAGUCGGAUGUGAAAGCCCCGGGCUUAACCUGGGAAUUGCAUUCGAUACUGCCGAACUAGAGUAUGGGAGAGGGAAGUGGAAUUUCCGGUGUAGCGGUGAAAUGCGUAGAUAUCGGAAGGAACACCAGUGGCGAAGGCGACUUCCUGGCCCAAUACUGACGCUGAGGUGCGAAAGCGUGGGUAGCGAACAGGAUUAGAUACCCUGGUAGUCCACGCCGUAAACGAUGAGAACUAGAUGUCGGGAAGAUUUACUUCUCGGUGUCGCAGCUAACGCGUUAAGUUCUCCGCCUGGGGAGUACGGUGGCAACACUAAAACUCAAAUGAAUUGACGG
rnacentral:rRNA from 1 species